rnacentral:rRNA from 1 species
UACGGGGGGAGCAAGCGUUGUUCGGAUUUACUGGGCGUAAAGGGCGCGUAGGCGGUCAGCACAAGUCAGUUGUGAAAUCUCCGGGCUUAACUCGGAAAGGUCAACUGAUACUGUGCGACUAGAGUGCGGGAAGGGGCAACUGGAAUUCUCGGUGUAGCGGUGGAAAUGCGUAGAUAUCGAGAGGAACACCUGCGGCGAAGGCGGGUUGCUGGGCCGACACUGACGCUGAUGCGCGAAAGCCAGGGGAGCGAACGGG